rnacentral:rRNA from 1 species
GACGAACCACACAAACGUUAUUCGGAAUUACUGGGCUUAAAGGGUGCGUAGGCGGCGCGGAAAGUAGGGUGUGAAAUCCCUCGGCUCAACCGAGGAAUUGCGCCCUAAACUACCGUGCUCGAGGGAGAUAGAGGUGAGCGGAACUUAGGGUGGAGCGGUGAAAUGCGUUGAUAUCCUAAGGAACACCGGUGGCGAAAGCGGCUCACUGGUCCAUUACUGACGCUGAGGUGCGAAAGCGUGGGGAGCAAACAGG